rnacentral:rRNA from 1 species
UACGUAGGGUGCAAGCGUUAAUCGGAAUUACUGGGCGUAAAGCGUGCGCAGGCGGUUUUGUAAGUCAGAUGUGAAAUCCCCGGGCUUAACCUGGGAACUGCGUUUGAAACUACAAGGCUAGAGUGUGGCAGAGGGGGGUGGAAUUCCACGUGUAGCAGUGAAAUGCGUAGAGAUGUGGAGGAACACCGAUGGCGAAGGCAGCCCCCUGGGUUAACACUGACGCUCAGGCACGAAAGCGUGAGGAGCAAACAGG